rnacentral:rRNA from 1 species
AUACGUAGGGAGCGAGCGUUACCCGGAAUUACUGGGCGUAAAGUGCGCGUAGGCGGCUUGGUAAGUCCCUUUUGAAAGCUCCCGGCUUAACUGGGAGAGGUGAGGGGAAACUACUUGGCUUGAGGACAGCAGAGGAAAGCGGAAUUCUCGGUGUAGCGGUGAAAUGCGUAGAUAUCGAGAGGAACACCAGUGGCGAAGGCGGCUUUCUGGGCUGCACCUGACGCUGAGGCGCGAGAGCGUGGGGAGCAAACAGGAUUAGAUACCCGAGUAGUCC